rnacentral:rRNA from 1 species
GUGNGAGCGUUNNNNGAAUUAUUGGGCGUAAAGCGCGCGCNGNCGGUUUNUUAANUNUGAUGUGAAAGCCCNCGGNUNACCNUGGAGGGUCAUNGGAAACUGGGGAANNNGAGUGCAGNANAGAAAGCGGANUUCCACGUGNAGCGGUGAAUGCGUAGAGAUGUGGAGGAACACCAGUGGCGANGGCGGCUUUUUGGUCUGUAACUGACGCUGAGGCGCGAAGCGUGGGGAGCAAACNGGNUUAGAUACCCUGGUAGUCCACGCCGUNAACGAUGAGUGCUAAGUGUUAGAGGGUUUCCGCCCUUUAGUGCUGCAGCUAACGCNUUAAGCACUCCGCCUGGGGAGUACGGUCGCAAGACUGAAACUCAAAGGAAUUGACGGGGGCCCGCACNAGCGGUGGAGCAUGUGGUUUAAUUCGAAGCAACGCGAAGAACCUUACCAGGUCUUGACAUCCUCUGACAACUCUGAGAUAGAGCGUUCCCCUUCGGGGGACAGAGUGACAGGUGGUGCAUGGUUGUCGUCAGCUCGUGUCGUGAGAUGUUGGGUUAAGUCCCGCAACGAGCGCAACCCUUGAUCUUAGUUGCCAGCAUUUAGUUGGGCACUCUAAGGUGACUGCCGGUGACAAACCGGAGGAAGGUGGGGAUGACGUCAAAUCAUCAUGCCCCUUAUGACCUGGGCUACACACGUGCUACAAUGGAUGGUACAAAGGGCUGCAAGACCGCGNGGUCAAGCCAAUCCCAUAAAACCNUUCUNNGUUCGGAUUGUAGGCUGCAACUCGCCUACNUGAAGCUGGAAUCGCU